rnacentral:tRNA from 1 species
CGGGUGCGGGUGCGCCGGGCGCGGGCGGGCUGCCGCCCCGCCGGGUGCCGGGUGCCUCGGGUGCGCCGGGCCUGC